GACGAACGCUGGCGGCGUGCUUAACACAUGCAAGUCGAACGGAAAGGCCCUGCUUUUGUGGGGUGCUCGAGUGGCGAACGGGUGAGUAACACGUGAGUAACCUGCCCUUGACUUUGGGAUAACUUCAGGAAACUGGGGCUAAUACCGGAUAGGAGCUCCUGCUGCAUGGUGGGGGUUGGAAAGUUUCGGCGGUUGGGGAUGGACUCGCGGCUUAUCAGCUUGUUGGUGGGGUAGUGGCUUACCAAGGCUUUGACGGGUAGCCGGCCUGAGAGGGGGACCGGCCACAUUGGGACUGAGAGACGGCGCAGACUCCUACGGGAGGCAGCAGGGGGGAAUAUUGCACAAUGGGCGGAAGCCUGAUGCAGCAACGCCGCGUGCGGGAUGACGGCCUUCGGGUUGUAAACCGCUUUCGCCUGUGACGAAGCGUGAGUGACGGUAAUGGGUAAAGAAGCACCGGCUAACUACGUG
rnacentral:rRNA from 1 species